UACGUAGGGGGCAAGCGUCGUCCGGAAUUAUUGGGCGUAAAGAGCUCGUAGGCGGUUUGUCGCGUCUGCUGUGAAAUCUGGGGGCUCAACCCCCAGCCUGCAGUGGGUACGGGCAGACUAGAGUGCGGUAGGGGGGACUGGAAUUCCUGGUGUAGCGGUGAAAUGCGCAGAUAUCAGGAGGAACACCGAUGGCGAAGGCAGGUCUCUGGGCAUUAACUGACGCUGAGGAGCGAAAGCAUGGGGAGCGAACAGG
rnacentral:rRNA from 1 species